UACAUGGGGUGCAAACGUUGCUCGGAAUCAUUGGGCGUAAAGCGCACGUAGGCGGCUUGUUAAGUCGGAUGUGAAAGCCCUGGGCUCAACCCAGGAAGUGCAUUCGAAACUGGCAAGCUUGAAUAUGGAAGAGGGUCGCGGAAUUCCCGGUGUAGAGGUGAAAUUCGUAGAUAUCGGGAGGAACACCAGUGGCGAAGGCGGCGACCUGGGCCAAUAUUGACGCUGAGGUGCGAAAGCGUGGGGAGCAAACAGG
rnacentral:rRNA from 1 species